rnacentral:lncRNA from 1 species
CUGGGAGAGUUCGGAUGGUAGUAUGGAAGCUCGGACAGCUGGGGGAGUUCAGAAAGACAUCGCACAAGGUUGGAAGCCGAAAGAGCCUUAGGAGGGUCGGCCUCUUAUGAACUUUGGCUGGGGUUAUUUUAUACCCAACACCAGUCCCCCUACUUUCGAGUUCGGAUUCCAAAUGAAGAAAGUACAGAAAAAUUUUCACAGCCG